AUGAUGCUUUCUGUUUUGUUGAGCCCUGCUUUGGUCUCUGGUUUGAUGGUUGUACAUGCUAAAAAUCCGGUACAUUCCGUUUUGUUUCCCAUCCUAGUCUUUUGCGACACUUCUGGUUUACUUAUUUUGUUAGGUCUCGACUUCUCCGCUAUGAUCUCCUUAGUAGUUCAUAUAGGAGCUAUUGUCGUUUCAUUCCUAUUCGUGGUUAUGAUGUUCAAUAUUCAAAUAGCGGAGAUUCACGAAGAAGUAUUGCGCUAUUUACCAGUGAGUGGUAUUAUUGGACUGAUCUUUUGGUGGGAAAUGUUCUUCAUUUUAGAUAAUGAAACCAUUCCAUUACUACCAACCCACAGAAAUAUGACCUCUCUGAGAUAUACGGUUUAUGCCAGAAAGGUCGGGAUGUUAUCAAAGCCAGGGCUUCUCGCCUUUCCUUUUGAUGGCUCAUAUGAACCUUACGUGGGC
rnacentral:rRNA from 1 species